GGCUCAGAUUGAACGCUGGCGGCAUGCCUUACACAUGCAAGUCGAACGGCAGCACGGACUUCGGUCUGGUGGCGAGUGGCGAACGGGUGAGUAAUGUAUCGGAACGUACCUUUCAGUGGGGGAUAACGUAGCGAAAGUUACGCUAAUACCGCAUAUUCUGUUAGCAGGAAAGCAGGGGAUCGCAAGACCUUGCGCUGAUUGAGCGGCCGAUAUCAGAUUAGCUAGUUGGUGAGGUAAAGGCUCACCAAGGCGACGAUCUGUAGCGGGUCUGAGAGGAUGAUCCGCCACACUGGAACUGAGACACGGUCCAGACUCCUACGGGAGGCAGCAGUGGGGAAUUUUGGACAAUGGGGGCAACCCUGAUCCAGCCAUGCCGCGUGAGUGAAGAAGGCCUUCGGGUUGUAAAGCUCUUUCGGCCGGGAAGAAAUCGCAUGGGCUAAUACCCUGUGCGGAUGACGGUACCGGCAUAAGAAGCACCGGCUAACUACGUG
rnacentral:rRNA from 1 species